UACGAAGGGGGCGAGCGUUGUUCGGAAUCACUGGGCUUAAAGCGUACGUAGGCGGCUAUUCCAGUCAGGAGUGAAAUCCCGGGGCUUAACCCCGGAAUUGCUUUUGAAACUAAAUAGCUGGAGUCCCGGAGAGGUUGGCGGAAUUCCGAGUGUAGAGGUGAAAUUCGCAGAUAUUCGGAGGAACACCAGUGGCGAAGGCGGCCAACUGGACGGGUACUGACGCUGAGGUACGAAAGCGUGGGGAUCAAACAGG
rnacentral:rRNA from 1 species